rnacentral:miRNA from 1 species
AUGUCUUCUUCCUUGCUCAUC